AGACACUAUUGAUAGGUUGGAUGAGAGGUGGAAAGACAUACAAGAUAGGAUGCUUGCCCUCAAAGUGUCUACAAUAAUGACCAAUCUCACCACAAUUAGUAACAUCCUGCCUUGAAGAACAUUACUCAAGAACUACACCGUGGAUGAAGAUUUUCCAGAUUAUCCUCUUCUAAUCCUAAUAAAGGCAGUAAUUGCUUCCAAGCACAUGAUUGGUUAUGAUGGUUAAGUGUGUUUCUAUAUUGGGCUUGUUUCUGUUCCUUAGAGAACCACAGAAUCUCAGACUGGGAAAGCAUUGAGGCCAUCUACUCCAAAGACUUUCAGGUGCAAGAAUCCCUCUGCAAAUAUCCAACAAUUGGUCAUUUGAACUUUGCUGGAAGAACUUUCCAGAGGAAAAACCCUUUAAGUCCUGGGGAAGUCCAUUCAAUUUUGGGGUAGUUCUUGUUGUUAGAAAGUUGCUGGGCUUUUUUUUGUUGGUUUUAAAAAUGUCAAGCAUAUAUUUGACUUGGUCAUUUCCACUCAUUGUUCUGACUCUGGUCUUCUGAGACCAAAUGAAACAAUUCUAACCCUGUUCCAUAUCCCAAUCUUUUAAAUAAUUAAAUAAAUGCAACCACUUCUCCAGGUCCCAGCACCACCCAUACACAAGCAAGUCUUUCCAUAGCAGGGAUUCUUAACCUGGUGCCUGUGGACCCUCAAGGAGUCUGUGGAUUUCAGGGGGUCUGUGAACUUGGAUUGUUAAAAAAAAAAAUCUUUUUUCUAAUGUCUAAUAAAAAUUUAACAUUUCCUUCAACACCUUUUAUGAGAAGGGAUCCACUGACUUUACCAGACUGACAAAGGAGUCUGUCUCUGUCUCUGUCUCUGUCUCUCUCUCACACACACACACACACACACACACACACACACACACACAUUAAGAGCUCUAGUUCAAGAACAAUGAUAUUAGAGAGACAAAACCUGGAUAUGCCUCUCAGUUCUGAUACUUUUUAGCUUUGUGUUUGUAGGAAAAUCACUUAACUUCUAUGGACCUCAGUUUCUUGAUGAGGAAAAUCAUAUUACUUACCUUACAGGACCGAUGUGUUGAAAGUAGGUUGUAAACCUUAAAAGUUUAUAUAAAUAUGAAUUAAUUUUUCAAUAUUUAGUAGUUUCUUUCCCCUCCCCUCUCCGUUAGAUUGUAAAUUCUGUAAGUACCCAAUAAAUCCCAAAUGACUAAUUCAACCCACUCUGGAAAAACUAGAAGGUUUCCUGGGGACAAAGGCUUAUGAAAGUAAUACUGCUUUGUUAAAGGUCUUGCAAACCAUCUUCCUUGUAUUAACACUACCCUUUCCAUAAUUUUAAGAAUGAAGAUGCAAUGAAUAAAUCAAGGUUUAAAUAUAUUCCUUAAAGCAUUCUGCUUAAAUGCUGAGAACUCAUGGCAAUUGCAACCUUUGCCCUUCCACUUCUAUUUUUAAAGCACACUGAAUUCUUUUACUGAAUUUUUAAAAACUGCAAUAAGACUGCCAAAAUAGCUUCUGACUCAGAAGCCAAAAAAAAAAUUAUAGGGCAAUGUAUUUCCCAGAGAAUAAUUAUCUACAUGCAAUUUUAAUUUGUAUAACACGAGUCAAGUUGAUCUCAGAAUACUAUGCAAUGAAAAGAUGCCAACCAACUGCUUAUCAUAUACAUGGUAUAAGGACAUUCAUUUCAAUUGAGCCAAAACUGUGUUGUCUUAUGGAGAAUGAAAUGUACAUAUGAAAUCUGCAGUUUUAAUGGGAUGAUUUUAACUUAGGAACACACACAUUUUCAGCAUCUUGUGUAUACUCUACUAAAAUAAUUCCUUACGAAAAAAAAAGUCAACAAGCCAGAAAGAAAACAGAGAUAUUAGUAUUUCUUUUAUUGAUAGUAUUAUCAUUAUCUUGGAAAGCAGGACUCAAUCAUGCAAUCAUAAUUUGUCAAAGCAGUUGUGAAAGUAGUUUUUAAAUGCCUUGAACAAUUUCUUAGAGUCAAACUUCUAACAUGUUAGUCAAAAGGGCUUUCCUUCCCUACUUCCAUAUGCCAUUUACAUCAGCACGUACAAAAACAUGAUAUUUCAUAUUUAUCUAAGAUAGGUGUUGAAAGCUAAAAAUAAAAUAUACUAAUUAAUAGAAAGCAAAAAUAGUUUUUAACACACUAAAUAGUUUAUGCUUUUUAUUCCAAACACUUUCUCCAAAACAACAUAUUUAUUUAAUUUUAUGGAAAAUACAUUUAAUUCCCCUUUCCCUCUUUGGAUGAACGCAAGUCUCACCAAGAGGCCAUUUUUCCAAAAGAAAAAAAAAAGAACAUUAACUUGCAUGGAAACCAAUUUCAUUCAUGAUAUUAAAUAUUAUGAUUUUAUAUCAUGUUAUGGUUUCUUAUAAUUUUUAAAGAAAUGAAAGUGUCAGCUUCUUAAUGAAAACUGCUUAUACUAUUGUAAGGCACAUCUGGAAACCUCUAGGAAUACUUACUUAUAAGCAAAUCAUUACUAGCUGCAAUCACAUGUGGUUUUUAAAAACAGAAUAUUCCUGUAUACAUUUUGCUGAGUAGGUGGGAUAUUCAGAAUUGGGAAAGAACAGGCAGACAAAACCUCACUGUCACCCCAGAAAUUACCCACACAGAUCAGUUAGUGCAAUAAGCAGUAUAGAAUUAUAAGUUGAAAGAAGAAUGAGUAAAUAAACAUAUGUUCUCUUGUUUUGGGGUUCCCAGAUUUUUUUGUGUUACACUGACAGCCAUCUUUCUCUACAACUACAACUGCAGUCUGAAAUAUUAGUCACCCUAGCUUUAAUGAUCUUCCAAGGUGGCAUCCUGGAUCUAUCUCCUUGGCUGGACUUUAAAUAUUACUGUGUUUAUAACUUCUUCUACCAUAGUAUUUAGAUCUUGCUCUGGUAGAAGUUAGAGUGCUUACUUUCAACCUGGACUUUGCCUAAUGACUGCAUCUAUUGUCAAAUUUGGAGAGGUGUUAUU